rnacentral:rRNA from 1 species
GAUGAACGCUAGCGACAGGCCUAACACAUGCAAGUCGAGGGGCAGCACAUGAGUAGCAAUACGAUGGUGGCGACCGGCGCACGGGUGAGUAUCGCGUAUGCAACCUACCUUCCACAGGGGGAUAGCCUUCCGAAAGGGAGAUUAAUACCGCAUAAAACAGGGGCCCCGCAUGGGGAUAUUUGUUAAAGAUUUAUCGGUGGGAGAUGGGCAUGCGUUCCAUUAGCUAGUUGGCGGGGUAAUGGCCCACCAAGGCAUCGAUGGAUAGGGGAACUGAGAGGUUUAUCCCCCACACUGGAACUGAGACACGGUCCAGACUCCUACGGGAGGCAGCAGUGAGGAAUAUUGGUCAAUGGGCGGGAGCCUGAACCAGCCAAGUCGCGUGAAGGAAGACGGUUCUAUGGAUUGUAAACUUCUUUUGCACUGGGGUAAAACGGGGGACGUGUCCCCCCUUGCAAGUACAGUGCGAAUAAGCAUCGGCUAACUCCGUGCCAGCAGCAGCCGCAGUAA